GCAGGCGUAGUAUAAUGGUAUCAUACAACGUUGCCAUCGUUGUGACGCGAGUUCGAUUCUCGCCGUCUGCUCCA
rnacentral:tRNA from 1 species